AUUGAACGCUGGCGGCAUGCCUAACACAUGCAAGUCGAGCGGAGCGGCGGACGGGUGAGUAAUGCCUAGGAAUCUGCCUGUUAGUGGGGUAUAACGUCCGGAAACGUGCGCUAAUACCGCAUACUAUCAGAUGAGUCUAGGGGGGAUUAGCUAGUUGGGGGGGUAAUGGCCUACCAAGGCGACGAUCUGUAACUGGUCUGAGAGGAUGAUCAGUCACACUGGAACUGAGACACGGUCCAGACUCCUACGGGAGGCAGCAGUGGGGAAUAUUGGGCAAUGGGCGAAAGCCUGAUCCAGCCAUGCCGCGUGAGUGAAGAAGGUCUUCGGAUUGUAAAGCACUUUAAGUUGGGAGGCGUUACCAACAGAAAAAGCAACGGCUAACUACGUGCCAGCAGCCGCGGUAAUAC
rnacentral:rRNA from 1 species